GGAUGAAGCCCAAGUCGGAUUAGCUAGUUGUAGGGUAACGGCCCUCCCAAGGCAACGAUCCGUAGCUGGUCUGAGAGGACGAUCAAGCCACCACCGGGAACUUAAGACACGGGUCCGGACUUCCUACGGGAGGCAGCAGUGGGGGAAUAUUGGACAAUGGGCGCAAGCCUGAUCCAGCAAUGCCGCGUGUGUGAAGAAGGCCUGCGGGUUGUAAAGCACUUUCAGCAGGGAAGAACAGCGCAGGGCUAAUAUCCCUGUGUCCUGACGUCACCUGAAGAAGAAGCACCGGCUAACUCCGUGCCAGCAGCCGCGGUAAUACGGAGGGUGCGAGCGUUAAUCGGAAUUACUGGGCGUAAAGCGUACGUAGGUGGCCUCGUAAGUCGAAUGUGAAAGCCCCGGGCUUAACCUGGGAACUGCAUCCGAAACUGUGGGGCUAGAGUAAGGGAGAGGGAAGUGGAAUUUCCGGUGUAGCGGUGAAAUGCGUAGAUAUCGGAAGGAACACCAGUGGCGAAGGCGACUUCCUGGCCCAUUACUGACACUGAGGUACGAAAGCGUGGGGAGCAAACAG
rnacentral:rRNA from 1 species